AUACGUGCAAUUGAAAAUGCAAAUCGUGCAACAAUCAAUUUAAUUGAACCGUUAUAUGAAAUUAAAUCACCGUGCCAGCAGCUGCAUCUCUCAACCCAAAACAAGUAAACAUGUGCUCACCGAAAUUAAUGUAACAUGUGUGCAUAAAGCUUAAAUCAGCGCACCACUUCCAGUAAUUAAAUCAAUGUUCUCCUGGAUGAAAUCCCGUGCAAGAGUGAACCAGGUGUGCUAUUAAAACAAAAGUAAAU
rnacentral:lncRNA from 1 species